GUGAAGGUGAACCGUAAGGUUUGCUGGAGGUAUCGGAAGUGAGAAUGCUGACAUAAGUAGCGAUAAAGAAUGCGAGAAACAUUCUCGCCGAAAGUCCAAGGGUUCUUGCGUAAAGUUAAUCUGCGCAAGGUUAGUCGGCCCCUAAGGUGAGGCUGAAAGGCGUAAUCGAUGGGAAUCAGGUUAAUAUUCCUGAACCUGAAGGAUGUGACGAAAGUAGUAAGUUGUACAGUCUUAUUGGAUUGAUUGUGCAGCGAAUAUUUUCCAGGAAAUAACACCUUCAUUAUAGACCGUACCCGAAACCGACACAGGUGGACAGGUAGAGUAUACCAAGGCGCUUGAGAGAACGAUGCUGAAGGAACUAGGCAAAUUGCAUCUGUAACUUUGGAAGAAAGAUGACCUACAUAUGGGCAACCAUUUGUGGGUGGCACAAGCUAGGGGGUAGCGACUGUUUAUUAAAAACACAGGGCUCUGCAAAGUCAAUAGACGAAGUAUAGGGUCUGACGCCUGCCCAGUGCUGGAAGAUUAAGAGGAGGGGUGCAAGCUCUGAAUUGAAGUCCCAGUGAACGGCGGCCGUAACUAUGACGGUCCUAAGGUAGCGAAAUUCCUUGUCGGGUAAGUUCCGACCCGCACGAAUGGCGUAACGAUUUCCCCGCUGUCUCCAGUAUCGACUCAGCGAAAUUGAAUUCUCCGUGAAGAUGCGGAGUUCCCGCGGUCAGACGGAAAGACCCCGUGAACCUUUACUAUAGCUUUGCACUGGUGUUAGGAAUCAAAUGUGCAGGAUAGGUGGGAGACUAUGAAGCAGAGGCGUCAGCCUUUGUGGAGUCACCCUUGAGAUACCACCCUUUUGGUUCUUGACAUCUAACCGAGAUCCUUGAAUCAGGAUCCGAGACAAUGCAUGGUGGGUAGUUUGACUGGGGCGGUCGCCUCCCAAAGAGUAACGGAGGCGCGCGAUGGUUAGCUCAGGUUGGUCGGAAAUCAACUUUUAGAGUGCAAUGGCAUAAGCUAGCCUGACUGCGAGUCUGACAAGACGAGCAGAGACGAAAGUCGGUCAUAGUGAUCCGGUGGUCCCGAGUGGAAGGGCCAUCGCUCAACGAAUAAAAGGUACUCCGGG
rnacentral:rRNA from 1 species